rnacentral:rRNA from 1 species
AGUGAACGCUGGCGGUAGGCCUAACACAUGCAAGUCGAACGGCAGCACAGUAAGAGCUUGCUCUUACGGGUGGCGAGUGGCGGACGGGUGAGGAAUCCAUCGGAAUCUACUUUUUCGGGGGGGAUAACGUAGGGACACUUACGCUAAUACCGCAUACGACCUACGGGUGAAAGCAGGAGAUCUUCGGACCUUGCGCGAUUGAAUGAGCCGAUGUCGGAUUAGCUAGUUGGCGGGGUAAAGGCCCACCAAGGCGACGAUCCGUAGCUGGUCUGAGAGGAUGAUCAGCCACACUGGAACUGAGACACGGUCCAGACUCCUACGGGAGGCAGCAGUGGGGAAUAUUGGACAAUGGGCGCAAGCCUGAUCCAGCCAUACCGCGUGUGUGAAGAAGGCCUUCGGGUUGUAAAGCCCUUUUGUUGGGAAAGAAAAGCAGCAAGUUAAUACCCCGCUGUUCUGACGGUACCCAAAGAAUAAGCACCGGCUAACUUCGUG